UACGUAGGGUGCAAGCGUUAAUCGGAAUUACUGGGCGUAAAGCGUGCGCAGGCGAUUAUGCAAGACAGAUGUGAAAUCCCCGGGCUCAACCUGGGAACUGCAUUUGUGACUGCAUGGCUGGAGUGCGGCAGAGGGGGAUGGAAUUCCGCGUGUAGCAGUGAAAUGCGUAGAUAUCGUAAGGAAGACCAGUGGCGAAGGCGAGUCUCUGGACAGUUACUGACACUGAGGCACGAAGGCCAGGGGAGCAAACGGG
rnacentral:rRNA from 1 species